GAGUAAUGUCUGGGAAACUGCCUGAUGGAGGGGGAUAACUACUGGAAACGGUGGCUAAUACCGCAUAACGUCGCAAGACCAAAGAGGGGGACCUUCGGGCCUCUUGCCAUCAGAUGUGCCCAGAUGGGAUUAGCUUGUUGGUGAGGUAACGGCUCACCAAGGCGACGAUCCCUAGCUGGUCUGAGAGGAUGACCAGCCACACUGGAACUGAGACACGGUCCAGACUCCUACGGGAGGCAGCAGUGGGGAAUAUUGCACAAUGGGCGCAAGCCUGAUGCAGCCAUGCCGCGUGUAUGAAGAAGGCCUUCGGGUUGUAAAGUACUUUCAGCGGGGAGGAAG
rnacentral:rRNA from 1 species